rnacentral:pre_miRNA from 1 species
ACAACAUUCGGACCGUCGGUCUACCGAGCAAUAACAUCCGCUCAGCGGAGAACAUUUCCCUCCGUCGU